rnacentral:rRNA from 1 species
UACGUAGGGUGCAAGCGUUAAUCGGAAUUACUGGGCGUAAAGCGUGCGCAGGCGGUUUUGUAAGUCUGACGUGAAAUCCCCGGGCUCAACCUGGGAAUGCGUUGGAGACUGCAAGGCUAGAAUCUGGCAGAGGGGGGUAGAAUUCCACGUGUAGCAGUGAAAUGCGUAGAGAUGUGGAGGAACACCGAUGGCGAAGGCAGCCCCCUGGGCAAGGUGACGCUCAUGCACGAAAGGCGUGGGGAGCAAACGAGG